AUUCAUUUAGGUGGUGGCCGGCCAUGUGGAGGAAAAAAAGGGGCCCAAGCCCAUAAAAUUUUAAAAGCCUUGUAAUAAAUAAAGAAAAGGGACCAUUCAUUCUCAUUCUAGAACACUCAAAAAAAAAAAAGUGAGAGAGCAAGAACAAGAGAGGGGUCCGGCCCCAAGGAGAAAGAAAGAAAAAAAAAAUUGAGGCCAUCAAUCUUUGAUCCAAAAUUAUAGUUUUCUAGUAUUUCUACUAAGUUCAAGACCCUCUUCAACGUGGUAUAAUUUUUUAGGCAAGAAAGUACUUUUUUUAUCAAGUGAAGAAUUUGAAGAAAAAGAUAUUGGAGAGCCCGAGACUUGAUUCGGGACUGAACUAGCGAGCGAUUGAGGUACAGACAUUCGUUUUGGUGAUCCUCCAGUAUAGGAUACAUAUUCUGCCACUUGGAGUACUCCUUUUGAUCCGGAGCUUAUAUUUUUGGUACAUAUCUUCUGUUAUACACGUUCUGUAUAUGUAUGGCUAUUUGGGUACGGCGGGGCCCUGUCCCGUCAUAUGUUUCUGUUAUGUUUUGUAGAGGCUUGUAGUCAUAUAUGUGGGUCAUGGGUCAUGUCUGCUCGUUUCUGUUUAUGAUCUGUGCCUUAAGCGGUCCCGGUUGCUGUUAUGGCCAAAACGGCCCAUAUGUUUGUAUAUGUUUGUAAAUCUGGGCGAUGUGUAUUCCGCCAGCCUACCGGAUUUGAUAUGAUAAUUUUGUAU